UACGAAGGGGGCUAGCGUUGUUCGGAAUUACUGGGCGUAAAGGGUGCGUAGGUGGCCAACUAAGUCAUACGUGAAAUCCCUCAGCUUAACUGGGGAACUGCGUCUGAUACUGGUUGGCUUGAGUACAGGAGAGGAACGCGGAAUUCCAGGUGUAGCGGUGAAAUGCGUAGAUAUCUGGAGGAACACCGGUGGCGAAGGCGGCGUUCUGGACUGCAACUGACACUGAGGAACGAAAGCCAGGGGAGCAAACGGG
rnacentral:rRNA from 1 species